rnacentral:rRNA from 1 species
UACGUAGGGUGCGAGCGUUGUCCGGAAUUAUUGGGCGUAAAGAGCUCGUAGGCGGUGUGUCACGUCGGCCGUGAAAACCUGCAGCUUAACUGUGGGCGUGCGGUCGAUACGGGCAUCACUGGAGUUCGGCAGGGGAGACUGGAAUUCCUGGUGUAGCGGUGAAAUGCGCAGAUAUCAGGAGGAACACCGGUGGCGAAGGCGGGUCUCUGGGCCGUAACUGACGCUGAGGAGCGAAAGCGUGGGGGAGCGAACAGG